GUGAACGUGGCAGAGUGGUCUAAUGCGACAGACUCGAAAUCUGUUGGGGAAACCCGCGCAGGUUCAAAUCCUGCCGUUCACG
rfam:Coccomyxa subellipsoidea C-169, whole genome shotgun sequence.